rnacentral:rRNA from 1 species
UACGUAGGCGGAAAAUUAAGUCAGUAGUGAAAUCCUGCAGCUUAACUGUAGAACUGUUAUUGAUACUGGUUUUCUUGAAUUUAGUUGAGGUAGGCGGAAUGUGUAAUGUAGCGGUGAAAUGCUUAGAUAUUACACAGAACACCGAUUGCGAAGGCAGCUUACUAUACUGUGAUUGACGCUGAGGCACGAAAGCGUGGGGAGCGAACAGGAUUAGAUACCCUGGUAGUCC